CCAAUAACUACCACUGAGCGACUUUUACUGUUAUAGUUUGUUUGUUAAUCCUUUACUUUUGUACUAGAGGUGUCUUGUGGUCUGGGAGCCCAAGAGAGGAUUUCGGGUACAACUUUAAAGUGUCAGCUACAAAGAAUGAAGUAGUUUUACAACUGAAACCUGAAACUUUGAUCAGCACAUUGCAGGCGUUGAAGAGCUCAGGAUAUUUUCAAAAACUUGCUGAUGAAUUUGCGCUUAAAGCUGCGGAACAAUUUAUUAAACAACUGAAAAAGGAGAAAAAUACUGCUACACGAGAACGAUUGGAUGAAUCACCCAAAGUCCCACAACAUCAACCUUCAAAGACACUUCAAUCAGAACAAAACACAAAAAAACUUCGUAAAGCGUCAGGGUCGCACCGAUUAGUUUUGGCCGAUAAAGUACCUAUAGAUGAUGGUAAAAAGGAAAUGAAAACCAAAUCUAAACUAAAAACCAGCGACAGAGCUUCUUCUGAAGAAAGAAGAAGUGAACAGGUUCUGAUGAGUCUAAUGGAUACACCUCCUCCUGACGGAGACAACUUGGAAAAUGAGUCGGUCCUAACGGAAGUAGAGGAAAAGAAGACGGAAAAACCUUUGGGGCUCUAUAAAAUUAAUGGCAAACAUUUUAGAAGAUACGACUUCUUCUGGAAAUAAAUCUACUA
rnacentral:misc_RNA from 1 species